rnacentral:rRNA from 1 species
AUUGAACGCUGGCGGCAGGCCUAACACAUGCAAGUCGAGCGGAUGAAGGGAGCUUGCUCCUGGAUUCAGCGGCGGACGGGUGAGUAAUGCCUAGGAAUCUGCCUGGUAGUGGGGGAUAACGUCCGGAAACGGGCGCUAAUACCGCAUACGUCCUGAGGGAGAAAGUGGGGGAUCUUCGGACCUCACGCUAUCAGAUGAGCCUAGGUCGGAUUAGCUAGUUGGUGGGGUAAAGGCCUACCAAGGCGACGAUCCGUAACUGGUCUGAGAGGAUGAUCAGUCACACUGGAACUGAGACACGGUCCAGACUCCUACGGGAGGCAGCAGUGGGGAAUAUUGGACAAUGGGCGAAAGCCUGAUCCAGCCAUGCCGCGUGUGUGAAGAAGGUCUUCGGAUUGUAAAGCACUUUAAGUUGGGAGGAAGGGCAGCAAGUUAAUACCUUGCUGGUUUGACGUUACCAACAGAAUAAGCACCGGCUAACUUCGUG